rnacentral:rRNA from 1 species
GACGAACGCUGCGGCGCGCCUAACACAUGCAAGUCGAACGAGAGAGAGGAAGCUUGCUUCCUUAAUCGAGUGGCGAACGGGUGAGUAACGCGUGAGGAACCUGCCUCAAAGAGGGGGACAACAGUUGGAAACGACUGCUAAUACCGCAUAAGCCCACAGCUCGGCAUCGAGCAGAGGGAAAAGGAGUGAUCCGCUUUGAGAUGGCCUCGCGUCCGAUUAGCUAGUUGGUGAGGUAACGGCUCACCAAGGCAACGAUCGGUAGCCGGACUGAGAGGUUGAACGGCCACAUUGGGACUGAGACACGGCCCAG